UUAAAUUGAAGAGUUUGAUCAUGGCUCAGAUUGAACGCUGGCGGCAGGCCUAACACAUGCAAGUCGAACGGUAACAGGAAGCAGCUUGCUGCUUCGCUGACGAGUGGCGGACGGGUGAGUAAUGUCUGGGAAACUGCCUGAUGGAGGGGGAUAACUACUGGAAACGGUGGCUAAUACCGCAUAACGUCGCAAGACCAAAGAGGGGGACCUUCGGGCCUCUUGCCAUCAGAUGUGCCCAGAUGGGAUUAGCUAGUUGGUGAGGUAACGGCUCACCAAGGCGACGAUCCCUAGCUGGUCUGAGAGGAUGACCAGCCACACUGGAACUGAGACACGGUCCAGACUCCUACGGGAGGCAGCAGUGGGGAAUAUUGCACAAUGGGCGCAAGCCUGAUGCAGCCAUGCCGCGUGUAUGAAGAAGGCCUUCGGGUUGUAAAGUACUUUCAGCGGGGAGGAAGGUGUUGUGGUUAAUAACCACAGCAAUUGACGUUACCCGCAGAAGAAGCACCGGCUAACUCCGUGCCAGCAGCCGCGGUAAUACGGAGGGUGCAAGCGUUAAUCGGAAUUACUGGGCGUAAAGCGCACGCAGGCGGUCUGUCAAGUCGGAUGUGAAAUCCCCGGGCUCAACCUGGGAACUGCAUUCGAAACUGGCAGGCUUGAGUCUUGUAGAGGGGGGUAGAAUUCCAGGUGUAGCGGUGAAAUGCGUAGAGAUCUGGAGGAAUACCGGUGGCGAAGGCGGCCCCCUGGACAAAGACUGACGCUCAGGUGCGAAAGCGUGGGGAGCAAACAGGAUUAGAUACCCUGGUAGUCCACGCCGUAAACGAUGUCUACUUGGAGGUUGUGCCCUUGAGGCGUGGCUUCCGGAGCUAACGCGUUAAGUAGACCGCCUGGGGAGUACGGCCGCAAGGUUAAAACUCAAAUGAAUUGACGGGGGCCCGCACAAGCGGUGGAGCAUGUGGUUUAAUUCGAUGCAACGCGAAGAACCUUACCUGGUCUUGACAUCCACAGAACUUUCCAGAGAUGGAUUGGUGCCUUCGGGAACUGUGAGACAGGUGCUGCAUGGCUGUCGUCAGCUCGUGUUGUGAAAUGUUGGGUUAAGUCCCGCAACGAGCGCAACCCUUAUCCUUUGUUGCCAGCGGUCCGGCCGGGAACUCAAAGGAGACUGCCAGUGAUAAACUGGAGGAAGGUGGGGAUGACGUCAAGUCAUCAUGGCCCUUACGACCAGGGCUACACACGUGCUACAAUGGCGCAUACAAAGAGAAGCGACCUCGCGAGAGCAAGCGGACCUCAUAAAGUGCGUCGUAGUCCGGAUUGGAGUCUGCAACUCGACUCCAUGAAGUCGGAAUCGCUAGUAAUCGUGGAUCAGAAUGCCACGGUGAAUACGUUCCCGGGCCUUGUACACACCGCCCGUCACACCAUGGGAGUGGGUUGCAAAAGAAGUAGGUAGCUUAACCUUCGGGAGGGCGCUUACCACUUUGUGAUUCAUGACUGGGGUGAAGUCGUAACAAGGUAACCGUAGGGGAACCUGCGGUUGGAUCACCUCCUUACCUUAAAGAAGC
rnacentral:rRNA from 1 species